rnacentral:rRNA from 1 species
GACGAACGCUGGCGGCGUGCCUAAUACAUGCAAGUAGAACGCACAGUUUAUACCGUAGCUUGCUACACCAUAGACUGUGAGUUGCGAACGGGUGAGUAACGCGUAGGUAACCUGCCUGGUAGCGGGGGAUAACUAUUGGAAACGAUAGCUAAUACCGCAUAAUAUUAAUUAUUGCAUGAUAAUUAAUUGAAAGGUGCAAUUGCAUCACUACCAGAUGGACCUGCGUUGUAUUAGCUAGUAGGUUAGGUAACGGCUCACCUAGGCGACGAUACAUAGCCGGCCUGAGAGGGUGAUCGGCCACACUGGGACUGAGACACGGCCCAGACUCCUACGGGAGGCAGCAGUAGGGAAUCUUCGGCAAUGGACGAAAGGCUGACCGAGCAACGCCGCGUGGGUGAAGAAGGUUUUCGGAUCGUAAAGCUCUGUUGUAAGAGAAGAACGGGUGUGGGAGUGGAAAGUUCACACUGUGACGGUAUCUUACCAGAAAGGGACGGCUAACUACGUG